UAAAUAUGCCACUGAUAGGAAAUUUUGCUCUUUGCUUAUAUCCUUCUAUGAUGUGUUAGUUUGAAGUAUUUUCUUUAAGGGACUUUUCCUGGUCUUGUUCGUUUCUUUGCGUAGGUAUGGCUUAAAUGAUAGCACAAAAUUUCAAGGAAAGAAAAUAACCUAGAAAAGACUUUAUAUCUAGUAUGCUGGUCAUUGAUAAGUUUUAAAUAGAAGAAUGGGAUGUUAAGACCAGCUAUCUUGAGUAGUUUGAUUUUAACAAUGUCACGUUUCCCAUCAGCCCUUCUUAUUUCAAGGAGAGCUGGUAGUGGCUAGAGAAGGGACCAGACUGGGACCUUGAACUGAGGCCUAAACCGAUGGUUAUCAAUUUACCAACUCAGAUUGGUCUGCCUGUGUCUGUUCUGCCUCCUUAUAUUGUAAUUCCAACUUCUAAAACUGUAUUUUCCUCAUUUCUUUGUAGCUUGCCUCUUCCUUCCAACCACCUGUCUUUCAAUCCAUUAAAAAAAAUGGAAAAGUAGCCACCAUAUAGAGGUAACCACUUCAAAUUCAGCAGCAGAGCUAAGAGCUAGUCUUUUCCUCUAGUGCCAAAAAGGUGCUUUUUUGGUGGGAUGAAAAACACAGAGUACCAACUUUCCAACAGGAAUUCUCAGUAGGCUUUUGCCCUCUUAAUUUCAAAUUUUUCUGAUGAUUGUUAUAAAUUGGUUCUUGUUCUAAUUUUUGAAUUUUUCUAGUAUGCCUACAGUUGCACUAGGGAAGUAAAGUUCCAUGCAUUCAAAUAAUUCAGUUGUUUAAUACUCCUUAUCUUAACCAUCCAACAGGAGUGUGAUCCGAAGUUUAAAUCAGACUUUAGUUCAUUUACAGGCAUGAUAAGAGAUGCAAAUGUCACAAGUUGUCCACCAGGAGUUAUGCAGCCUAGCUGUCCUUGCAAAAUAUAUUCAGGAGUAGCUUUUAACUCCUUUUGCAUCAAGCUUCUGUGGAAACCUCAUUCUAAAGAGAAAUACUUGGAGCCUGUCUUUAUCCUUGUUCUUACAUUUGAAACAAAGAUAGUUUUAAAUCCCUUCCAUUUGCUUGCUGUUAUCAAAGCCCUGAACAUACACUCACUAUGUGGUGAGAAGUAAGAAAGAUAAACAGAAACCCUUAGAAAUACCUAGAGUAAUUCAAUAUUAUUCUGUGUUUUUUCUUGCAUUUAUUUUAAACUUAUAUUUUAUUUUCCUUUGCUCCCACAAACACCAUCUGUGCAUCUGGGUGGGGUACACAUUCAAUCUGUGAAAUCUGCCUUAGCAGAUUCGAUGAAUCUCUGGCUGCCAGCAAUGUGGAAAUAUGUUACGUUGGUUGCUCUGAAAGUAAUGCCUCCUAUUUAUUUCCAUGGAAGCUACUCUAGCUACAAACAGCACAACAACUAUUGCAGGAAAUUCUCAGCUACAACACCUUAUUUUUCAACUUAGUCACCACCUUUAGCUAUGCAUUUUCAUUCGCUAUGAACAAGAACUUGUAUGCCACACUCAUAAAAGUUUGCACCAGUGGAGUUGACCCACUACUGCUGUCACCACUGCUGAAAUGCACCACCCACCACCUCACUGUGGGUCUCUGUAAAUGUUCAGCAAGCAUUGAUGAGCCUCCUUAUGGAGGAAGUCAAUGACACAUAUUUGCUUCAUACACAAUUCUGUGUUGUCUACACUUUGUCAGACUGCCCCCCUGCUGCUGUAUGAGCAGUGAGAUGUGAUGGAACAUUGGUAGGAAAGUUCAGUCUCUGCUGUCAUACCAGCAACGUCUACCUCUGGCAUUGUGAGCCAAAAUAAUAAAAUAGGAUUAAUUGCUUUUGGAGAAGACCUCAUAGAAUUGUUCUUUUCACCUGAGUCUUGCCUUGCUCCAGGCCACGCAUUAGAGAAAUUUGCUGUACCUAUGUCAUAGCCAAUUGUAGUACAGGUGUAUACUACUAAAGAAAAAAAGUUUAUUUUCUGAUCUAAAUUAAAUUUUCGCCUUUUAAAAUAUGUUGAUGGGAAUUUAGGACAGAGUUUAUCAGAUUCUGUUACUAAAUCACUAAAUGAGAUAAUCUGUAACUGAAGAAGCAACUGGCUGCUGACAGGUAGACUGCUUUUGAGUUGUUGAAAGUAGCCAAGUAGAAAAAAGGCCAGAAUGUAGGAGUCAAACCAGUGCCCUGAAGACUUCAUUUUAGUUCCUUAUGCUUGUUAUUUCUACCACUUGUAGGCAGCUAGAGAAACUACAAGAUUCUUUUCUCUGUACAUUACUCCUGACAUUUUAUAUUCUUACUUUUCUAAAGUACAUCGUGUUUGAAGUUGCUCUAAUCGUUGACCAAAAGGUACCUUAAAAUGCUAGCUGACAUAUCUUGACCCAGUUAGUUGGGUUCCUCUCUGAGCGAAUUUCAUGGACUGCUCCAUUUUUAGAAGUAUAAACAUGUGAGCAACUCCUUGGUUUAGAUUUCAGCUCUGUGAGUAAAUGCUUAUGUGUUUUUAGACAAAGUUACUUUGUCCUUUGGUUGUGGCUGCAGAUAGAUGUGCUAUAAUCAUUUGCUGAGAGGGCUGGUGACUGUCAAAGCGCUCUGAGCUAGGACUUGCCAUCUGAGCAUGGCUUCAUGUCCUGUAAUAACAAAACAGGUGUUUAAAACUGUAAAUGAUACAUAGGAUGUUUCCUUGAAUUUCUGGUAUAAAGUCUCUGUCUGAACUGCACUGCCUUCAGAGUGCUUACUUCACAAAGGUGAUCUGAUGCUUCUGGAAUUGCAUAUCAUCAAAAUAAAGGAAAAGAAAAGCUUAGGCUUGUAAAUCACUUUGGGGUUUUGAAAAAUAUUACUGUCAUCAGAAAUCUGUAUUACUCCGUGUUUAGCAGUGUUUCUUCCCAGUUAUUUACAGAAGCUAUUCCAGUCUAGAUUUUUGAUGAACAUUGCUUGUAGUGUAUAUCCUUUCUAAAAGCAAAAGAUAAAGACUUUAAGAAUAGUGUUUAAAAAGUGAUUAGAAUAUUGGCUGUUAUUAAUCAAACUGUUGUUUUUUUUUAUAUUAUUUUUAACAUAUUUUUCAUUCCAAGGCUGAAAUUUAAGAAAAACCUUCCUCAUUUCCAUUGCUCUACAAACAUUGUACUCUCAUCUGAGAUCACAGAGCACAUCAAAUGCCCUUUGAAAAGUUGUAUUGACAUACAUUAAAAUACUCGUGAUUAAAUAGGUCCAGCUGAUAGAUGCUUAGAAAAAAUCAUCUUUGUGAUUCACUUUAAGUGAAACAAAGUGGUAUUAAUUAAAUACUGAUUUUAGAACUUCCAAAACUUGUUUAGUAAUUCUUGCUCAGAGAUUCUGAAAACUAAAAUAGAUCAUUACCUCCUUCAGCCUGACCUCUAGUGGAAAAUAUGCCAUGGAAUGGCUGCCCUUGUGCUGAGGUUAGUUUUAAUUACAGCAUGUCUUCCAGAAAGGUGUGUGAUCUUUAGUCAGGGACAUUAAGAAACAGGCAUCGAUCCACUUCUUUUUUCGACUCACUUCUCUCUGAAAUACACAUACACACAAAAUCUAGUCUUUAAAAAAGGAUUUAUUUAUUUAUUUUAAACAAGGCAGUUAUAAAAUUAUUGUGAUGCAAGGAGGAACAUGAAAUAUCUUAAACAGGUGCUUUCCUCCUACAAAGCAUCCUGCUCUUCUUUGCCGUUCACUCUUAGAAAAACAAAACUAAAGCAAAAAGAAUUUAGAGCCUCCUUCCACAUGCACAAAAAUACUACUCUUCUAUUUUAAAAGUAGGCAUGAAAAAUGUGAAUUAUAAUGUCUAAUUUUUUAUUUUCUGUACAUUAUUACUAAUUAAUCAGGCUUAGGAAAUUAUGUUAUGGUGAAUAAGCACACAGAAGACUGUAUUCUGCACAAUUACAUGCCACAUAUGAGGUGUGUAUGAAGUAACCAUGAUCCUAUGUCAUAAAUGCUAAGUAAUAGCAUUGAGCUAGGGCAUCGCUUAUUAGCCUGGAGUGAAACAUAUUGAAGUGCAUGUUUAUAAAAGAGUGGAAAAUGACAUCUCUGGCACACUUUUCUUCAAAGCCUACUGAGGUAUAUGCUAUACGGGCAGGGGAAUGGUGGCUGACUUGUAUUAAGUAGUCAGCCUCCAUGUCUUGACACGGCAUUUCCAAAUUCUGACCUGUGUGCCAGGUGGCUGCUUCCUUUGCCAUGGAAACGCGUUUGAGAGUCAUUUAUUUUUGUACAUUAAAGGAUGUUAUUUUAGCAAUGGCCACAUAACCUCUGUAACGAAAUGCUUUCAUCUCUAGUUCUUUGCUGGUGGAUCCCAGUGCGCAUCACCACUGACAGUUAGCAUCUUUCUUUUACUGUACAUCUUACAUGUUCUGGUGGACUUUUGAGAGUGCAUAAGAAGAGGGAGUUCCAAGAAGCCUGCCUGCCUUAAAAAAAAAAAAAAAAAAAAAGGAGGAGGAGGAGUGCUUGCCUCAUGGGUACUGCUUGUCCAGUGAGGAGAAUAAAUUUAGAAGGUAGCAGCAGUCCUGUAGAAACAAUGAGGAGAAAAAGAAAGAGUGAUAGGAAAGGGAUAUUUUUAUGAUAGCUCAGUGCAGCACGAAGUAGCAGACUCAAUGUAGCCUACUAACUGAAGAUUAAUAGGUUAGGCGUUUUCAGAGAGGUAGGCAGCAUUCUGCUUCUUCAGUUCUAUUUUAUAGACUUAUUAUCUCAAGUUAAAAUAAAUUCAUGUUUAAGGAUGUUUUUCCUUGUACGUCUAGUGAUUGUAUAUCUGCAAAGAGGAUUGUUAAUACCCCAAAUCAGAAUGGAUACGACCCAUUGGCUAGGUAAACUCAAUAGCUAGAUCUGUUCAACCAGCUGCCUCUUAAGGAACCUCUGUGGCAUGCAGACCACAUUUAGGAGAUAGGAGUUGACUGGUAAUUACAAAUAAUACCUUACAAUACUGUCCUUACAUUAAUGGCACUCCUACAGCAUUGGCAAAGAUGAUUUUUUUUUAAUUUCAUUUAUUUAUAUAUUUAUUUAGUGCAUGAAAAUUCACAUCAUUCACAUAUGAUAUGUGCUUGCAAAGUUAUGGUAAGGGUUCCCUUUUCACAGCCACACUUUCAUGGAAAAUCAGAAAAGUCCUUCAAAGCAAAGGUGAGUUCUUUCUAGGAGCUGAACAGAAAGAGUUCAGCUCUGUGGGUUGCUCCAUGUUCCUUGAAAGAAUUUCUGUGCUUCAUAUCUGUAACCCUCAAUUUAGAGAGGAACUAUAGGGAUCAGUAUAAGUGGAAUUGUCACAGAAGCGCUCAAGGUAGGUUAAACUUAUUACUCUUUAGGUACCUAGUAGACCUCUAUAUCAUUGUUAUAAAGCUAGAAGUUCAUCUGCUUCAUCUUUUGAUAGAAAGUGACACCUCAGCUUUUUGUAACUAGCUUGCAGUUGUAUUUUAAUGUGCAUGUCUGUAGCCAUACAACAGAAAGUUGCUUACCAUGCAUCUUUCACAACAAAGUAAUUGUGGUCCAACUCAGAGGCUGUAUUUUUGACAAGGAGCAGCUGCCCAGCAUGACACAGAAGAGGCUGGUGUGGAAAGUUGCACCUCGUCACCACCAGUGUCCUUGGUUUGUAGCAAAAUAUGUAUACUUUUCAUGCGUUAGGCAUACUGAUAUUUGGCAGAUUGUUUUAUUAUGGGUUUUAACUAAGUUCAUUGUUCUCUAUUCAGACAUCUGUUUCACUGUGGAAGGCCCAGCUAUAAACUGUUUUCUUUUUUAAUUUUUUCUUUUUUUUUUCAUCCCAGCUGUUAUCUCAAGGGAAGGUCCUACUUCUACAGUGUGUGUAGUCUUCAUAUGAAAGUCUCUUCUGUAUGCUUAAAGGGUGUUUUGUAAGAAAGAUCCAGUUUGUUACAAAUUCAGGUAAUCUUUUAUGCUGAUGUUAACUGGGACUCUGCAGCUAGUGCUACUUAGUUCUACUGUUUCCUUUCCAGCAGCUUGAAGUUUGCUCUUGAUAUCUUCUUGUCUGUUUGGGAAGUGUUUAGUACUAUUGACCUGCCUUUCUAGCUGACAGGUGGCCUACUUCGCUAAUGUUCCAUGAGCACUUCAUGAUGAUUGUGAUGAAAUGUUCACUUUUAGAACUAUAUCUUAUUGCUUGCUCAUUUGGUGAAUUUUUGGAAAUUCUGCUAAACUGGAGUUUAAUUUUAGUUUCUGUUGAUGCUCAGUCCUUCAGUGCAGUUUGAUAUAUCUAUAGAGUUUCAAGGUAAAUGAAAUGAGUUUUCCUGGUCUUAGUUUUCCACAAGAUUGUUCUGCUGGUGAAAGACUGAGUGCAGCUUCUUACUUUGUGUCUGGAAUUCUGUGAAAGAGAUGUUUCUUUAAGACAUUUUCGUUUAUAAUUAGUUCAUUUUGAGUAAUUUGGUUUUCUUAAAACAAAUCAAACUUAAAUGAGUGAUUCUUAGCUCUCCUGUUUUGCUUCAUCUUUCUAGUUUGCCAAGAUGGAGUUUAGUGUUAAGUACUUAGCCAUUAUUAAGUUUUUGUAUGUUAGAAAAUAAUAGAAUGGUCAGGGCUUAUAAUUAUUAUUUCAUUUCAGUCUUCUCUUCAAACUUUCCUCAUUGCUGAUAAGAAACAAACUAUUCUCUCAGAUCCGUAGUCAUGGCAGUAGGUUUUUCCUCCGUUAUUGCUUAAUUUCAUGCAUGUUACCACUAGAUGUCCCUCUUUGGCUUUUUUAUUAGGGUUCUGAUCUGGGCUUGUGAAGCAUAAAGUAACUGUGUUCCACAACUCUGGCAGGUUGAGUUGUGGGAGAAAAAUAUUUUUCUAGCUUUAAAGAAGUAAUUUGCUAUAGAUAUUAAGGCUAACUACUGUCUCUUUGUACUAAAAAGCCUUUAUGGGGAAAGUGACCUUUGUGAAAACUGUAUAUUUAACCUAUGGCUGAAGCAUUAGAACAUUUUGUUUUGUUCUACUUUUUAAAUUAAUAUGGCACCAAAUGACUGCAAUGUCUAAAUUCUUCUAUUGGGGUUUCUAUGGAGCUAUGCAAUUUAUCUUUUAUUUGCCCGCUAUUGGUUUUCUUAAGUAAAUACAUGUUAUGAUUUGUAUUUAGUAUUUAGCAGCAGGGUAAUCUGAGAAAGGCUGAGACUGUUCAAAAAACAUAAGUAAAGUAGCAGAAACAACACUUAGAAGCUAUGUACAUAGAGCUUACAGAACUCUGUUACCUGUUCUGCCACAAUAUCCAAAGGACAGACACAAUGCAAAUAGUUUCAUUGAAAGCAUCUCAAUAGUUACAGAAUUCAGCUUGGGAAUUGAAAGGUGCUAUAACAAAAUGUUGCUUUUAUUUAUACAAAACUGGGAUGCCCUCUAAAGUAAUGUCUACACAGCAGAUUUACUUGUCACACAAAAUGCCAGGGAAGUGGUGGGGGGCAUUUUUGAGUGAUCCGCUUGGCACAGAGGUGGAAUACAGUGUCAGCAUAAUGAAUGGGACCUUGCUUGGUGGAUGGAAAAUAUUUUAAAUUGAGUUUUUAUUUAAUGGAUUUGAACUUUUCAUGCCCAAUUACCUUUUUUUUUCUUUUUUUUUUUUCCUGAAAGUGAACAAUAAUAAUAAGAAUAAAGUGCAAAGGUUCAAUUUCAUUCUAGAAAUGGGAAAAUAUGCUUGGAAAGCUGUCAAAAGACACAGUCAGAUCUCAGGAGCAUGGAGCAAGGUAGCUAAUACUCUGCAGCGGAUGUCCAUCACCAUCUUCUGUGGCUUUUAAUGUCCUUGUGAAUGGUAAUGUGACAGACUGGAAUGAGUCAUACACAAAGAUGGAUGACAAUGGUUAGGUGAGUUGGUUAGGAUUAGAGAAAGUAUGUCCUUGCAAGGCAGUUUAUAUGAUUUUCUUAAUUUGUUCAAUUAAGUCUAAUGUAUGCAAGAGUUAUAGAGAAACCUGCAAGAUGAGGUUAGUGGGAUUUAAGGAAACCACUCCUGCAUACUCAGAAGUAAAUCCUUCCCACAAAUAGCUUAAACCAUCCUGUAGCAGGAGUGUAAGGAGGAUGAAGAAAAGCAACAAUCCCUAUUUAAGUCAGAUGGUCUUUGAAAUAAUAACCUGUUUCCAAUGAACUUCUGUUGUAGGAGUUUUUAAGUCUAGGCACAUAUGCAUCUAGAAUGAGAAGCUUAGCCUAAAUGUAUUGACCUCUGCUAAAUAAAAAUAUACUUUUAUGAGUAAAUGUAAUGAGUAAGCACACAUCUGUAUGUUACUUCUAAGUUCUCAUCACCAUGAUAUCUGGGUAACAACAUAUUGACUACAGAACUGAUUCAGAGACCAGUGAUUCAAUGAAAAGAUUCCCACUGAUUUUUACAGGCUUUGUGCCUAGACAAGUAGUCUCAAUCACAUUCCCUUCAUUUAAUGAAGUAUAUGCACAAUAGAGUCUGUAUUAGAAUAUUUACUGCAAGCAAAGAUAAAAUAUUGCAUUGUAAAAUCUCAGGAAAAAAAACUCAAAACUGUCAGGUAGUUGCCACCUUACUUCAGGUUUAACUCUGCUAUAACUACCUCUAGAAGUGGCUGGUCCAUUGUUUACUUAUUCUCGAUCACAGCAAGAGCUGUAUUGAUGGUUGGCCUUUGACUUGGCGUUACUGAUGGCUCAUAUGGUGCAAUCCUCAGCAGGGAACAUAAGAGAGCACCACUUUAAAAUGGAUCCUGCUGGCCAUGUGGUGCUGUUUUGUUCUGUGCACUGCUAAAAGGGACACUGUCUACUUGAAAUCUAGUCAAUUAAAAACAAACAGGCUAAUAGGAGCUUCAUGUCCCCAAGUCCUUUUGCCAUUUUCUGGGGGUUUGCAAUCAAGAGGAGCCUAUUUUAAGUGUAUUUUUCUCAUUCAUGUUUGCCAUUUAAUUUUUUCUUUUUUUCCUCAUAUGUGUGCAUGUAUGUUUGUGUGUAAAAGUAUAAACCGUGCUAAAGGAAGUACUUACCACUUCAUUGGCAUGGAAAUGAAUGAGUAAAUAUGAGUAAACACAACAAACAAAAAGCAAAUAAUCUACAUUUUCUUUGUGUAAUUCACAAAGUAAGAACAAAAGUUUUUUUUUCCUUUAACUUUCAGUUACUGAUGUUUUGUGGUUUUUUUUUUUUUUUCCUGAAAAUAUACAUGUUUGGCAGCAUGGAAUAGAUAAACUGAGUGGGAUUUUUUAGCAACCAAAAAAGUAGUCAUUUAAGAAAUUGAAUAGAAUUGUAUGAUCUGAAUAAACAUUUUAAAAACUCUUUCUGAAACAAACUGAACAACAACAACAACAAAAUCAAUAGAUAUGGAUAGUUCUGACUUAGUUCUAACUUUUAAGCAUCUACUUAAAAUUGUAGUCUGGAGUAGCUCAGGAAGGUCUGAGUUCAUUCAGACAACGGGUUGUGUAUUGCAGAAUGCCAUGGAGGCCAGGCAGGGCUCAUUGUUAGGGGCACCAAGGAUCAAGGAUUGUGGUGUGAAUUGAUGGCAUUCAGCACUUCAGUGGAAGUGUGGUGGUCAGAACCGUUGAUAUGGGAUAGUAAAAUUCCUUCAGGAUGUUUUCUAUCCAGAAUUCUAGAUGACAAAGGCAAAAGAACUAGUGGACAGCUGACAGGACGUUCACUGAAGACUAGGGACUGACUGACUGACAAUUAAGAUAACAGUACUAGUCUUGGUCAUAUAAUGAGACCCAUCACACAAUUGAACUAGUUUCUCAGGUGCUAGUAUAACUAUUCCUUCUCUUUAAGCUCAGAUAUAAACUUUCUCCCUCAUCUGUUUAGAAGUAUUGAAGUGAGAUUAGCAAACGUGGGAGAGUGAUGUGAGAUCAUCAUAUUCUCCAAGGUCUCUGUGCUGUCAGUGAAUUUGGUGUGGGCAACAGAGGGUCCGUUGCAGUGCGGGCAGAACUAGUUGAUGGAGUGUUUAAUGAUGCAACACUUUCUUUAGUAAUGUGUCUCAUUUGGACACCACAGCACAUCCUGUUUGUAUUUAAUCUCCUUCCCCUGGUGCUUUAUCUAUGUCUACUACUUUUGCAUUUUGACCCAAGGGACUUUUAUUUUAAUCAUUUGCUCUUACUACCUGAACUUUCUUGUACAUACUUAAUAAUACUUUACUUGCGACUUGAACAUAUGGAACAGAUAUUUUUAGUUCUCACAGUUAGACUUGAUUGCUUAAAAGAUAUAUUUUUCUUCUUUCAAAGAAAGCAUUUAAAAUCUCUUAUAUUUUCACAUGCUACCCUGAAGGAUGUUUAGUGUUGACCAGGAAUGCAUACAAAGUGAAACUCUUUAGAUUUUCUUUUUUCUUUUCUUUUUUUUUUUUUUUUUCCCCAGCAGGAGAGUAACUAAGUUCAGUGAAUGAAAAAGCCCUAUCGAGUAAGGACCUGAUGUUUUACAGCCAUCUGAACUUACCUGACCCAGGACCCUGUGCUAUACAGUUCCAUUAGAAAAGCACCAAAUGCUGACAAGUAGGUUUCAUUAGCAGAACCUUAAUAUAGUGAGAAUCUGGUUACAAAAGUGCUAGAUAUCUCAAACAAAGAGUAACAAUUCCUUGCUUCAGCUCAUAAAAACUAAGAGUUAUAACCGGAGCAGAAAAAGGCUAUAUUUCAUCCAUAUCUUUUUUUUUUUUUUUUUUUUUUGACUAAGUCAUGUAAUAUCACAGAAUCACAGACUUGCAGGUGUUGGAAUGGACCUCAAGAGAUCAUCAAGUCCAACCCCCCUGUUGAAGCAGAUUCCCUACAAUAGGUUGCACAAGUAGGCAACUAGACAGAUCUUGAAUAUCUCCAUAGAAGGAGACUCCACAACCUCUCUGGGCAGCCUGUUCCAGUGCUCUGUCACCCUUACCGUAAAGAAGUUCUUCCACAUAUUAUAUGGAACUUCCUAUGUUCAUGUUUUAGACCAUUACUCUUUGUGCUAUCACUUACUACACACCACUGAGAAGAGCCUGGCCUCAUCCAUUUGCCUCCACCUCCCAUUAGACAUGUAUAAACAUUUAUCAGAUCCACCUUCAGUCUUCUUUUCCCCAGCCUGAACAGACCGAGGUUGCUCAUCCUUUCCUCAUACAGGAGAUGCUACAGGCUCUUUAUUAUCUUUGUGGCCCUCCACUGGACUCUUUCUAGGAGAUCCCUGUCUUCUUUGAACUGUGAAGCCCAGAACUGGACACAGUAUUCUAAAUGUGGCUUCAUCAGGGUAGAGUAGAGAGGGAGGAUCACCUCCUUCAAGCUGCUGACCGCUCUCUUUUUAAUGCAACACAGGAUACCAGUGGCCUUCUGGGCUGCAAAGGGCACAGUGCUGGUUCAUGAUCAUCCUGUUGUCCACCAGAACAACCAGGUCCUUCUCUGCAGAGCUUCCCUCCAGCAGAUCAUCCCCUAAUCUGUACUGAUAUAUUCCUCCCCAGGUGCAAGAAUCUGCACUUGCUCUUGUUAAACCUCAUCAUGUUCCUCCCUGCCCAGCUCUCCAGUCUGUCCAGGUCUUAUUGAAUGGUAGCACAGAUUUUGAUGUGUCAGCCAUUCCUCUCACCGUUUUAUCACCAGCAAACUUGCUGAGGGUAGACUUUAUCCCUUCAUCCAGGUCAUUGAUGAAGAUGUUGAACAAGACUGGACCCAACACUGAUCUCUGUUCUUAUGUUUCCAAUCUCCAAACUUCCAUUAAUAAAGGAAUUAUAGCUUAAUAAAUUAAUGCUAAUUACUAGAAUUGCCUGUAUACAAGUUGACUGAGCUGUAGAUCAAAUGCACAUGCUUUCACACUGCCAAAUAUGAGGUAAAUGUUCAACCGUAAGGUAAGAGAAGAAGAGACAUACUGACAAAAGGCCAAAUGACAAAGAAAAAAUUAAAUGUGGUACCUUGGAGUUGGAAUCAGGAAAAUUGCUCUACUGUGACAUAUGACAAGUUGAGCCGCAUUAUUUUCCUUUGAUUUUGUUUCUGUCACUUUUUUUCUUACCACCUUAGGCAAGGAACUGUAUUUUAUUAUCAUGGAGAUUUGUACAGGACCUAGCAAAACAAGAUGAUGUUUAUGAUGGAAGCUGCAAUUUUAAUUUGUUACUAUAGGUGGUACUGUAAUAUUAAUACAUAAUAUUAAAGAAAAAGAAAUAAUGAGUGUGAACAAUCAAUAAAAAGAAUGGUAGCAAACAAAUGCUGAUGUUUCAUACUGUCUAAGUUCCAGCGGAGGUGAUUUUUAAGACUGAAGGAGAGGUAGUGACAUUCAUGUGAUGCCUUUUAAACUGUGCAAGUCUGCUAGAUGUUUUUGGUUUUUUGUUUUGUUUUCAGUUUUCUCCCAAACCUCCCAUAGCCAUGGCUAGAUCACACCCUACUCCUUUCUCCCAACCUAGUAAUUGUCUGCGGUGAAUGCCUGAAUGCUGCAGAAAAAGCUGGUGCAAGAUGACUAAAUAGUACUGAGAUAAGGCAUGAAAAUUAGAAGACACUUUUCAAAAUGGAAAAUGUUAUUGAUAUAUGUAACCAAGAAAGGUUUGCAUAGUGUGCCAUGCAGAAUACAUCAAGAUUUAAUCUUCAGUCUUCUUCAGCCUCAUCUUGAACAGGCUUUCCUCUCAUCUAGCUUUCCUAGAUCACAGCUUUUACUCACAGAGCAGUAGUACUUAGUUUUGUUUCAUUUUAUGGUGCUGGUGCUUUAAAGUCUAGUAGUAGUCAUAUAGUCCAGAUAGGAACCAAAACAUAGUAAGGCAUAAG
rnacentral:lncRNA from 1 species